GGGGGCGAUCCAGGUUCGACCGGAUUGCUGAGGUGUCUGGCUGCAUGCCGAGGUUGGUCGGCUGGCCUCGUAAAAAGCCGAUCGAAACCAUAACUGCCAACAACAACGUUGGUUCCUACAGCCUCGCCGCCUGACCGCGGUUGAGCUGCGUCGCGCCGGGGCUUCGCCCGUGGGCCUCGGCCGGCGACGACACAGCGGGCUCGUCCGAUCCAAACCGCCCGUUGCGGAUCGGAUUAAACUCAUGAUGGGCUAAGCCGAAGGAAACCCUGUCGUUCGGGGAUCCCAGGCCGACAACAAAAAGAACGACUACGCAUGUAGACGCCUUCACCGACGGAUCUCGGGACGCGGGUGCAAUUCCCGCCGCCUCCACUA
rnacentral:tmRNA from 1 species